rnacentral:rRNA from 1 species
GACGAACGCUGGCGGCGUGCCUAAUACAUGCCAGUAGAACGCUGAAGGAGGAGCUUGCUUCUCUGGAUGAGUUGCGAACGGGUGAGUAACGCGUAGGUAACCUGCCUGGUAGCGGGGGAUAACUAUUGGAAACGAUAGCUAAUACCGCAUAAGAGUAGAUGUCGCAUGACAUUUGCUUAAAAGGUGCAAUUGCAUCACUACCAGAUGGACCUGCGUUGUAUUAGCUAGUUGGUGAGGUAACGGCUCACCAAGGCAACGAUACAUAGCCGACCUGAGAGGGUGAUCGGCCACACUGGGACUGGGACACGGCCCAGACUCCUACGGGAGGCAGCAGUAGGGAAUCUUCGGCAAUGGACGGAAGUCUGACCGAGCAACGCCGCGUGAGUGAAGAAGGUUUUCGGAUCGUAAAGCUCUGUUGUAAGAGAAGAACGAGUGUGAGAGUGGAAAGUUCACACUGUGACGGUAUCUUACCAGAAAGGGACGGCUAACUACGUG